GGAUUGUGGCUUAGUGGCAAAGCACUUGCUUCGUGUGUAUGAGGCACUGGGUUCAAUCCUCAGCACCA
rnacentral:tRNA from 1 species